GCCUGGGUGGCUCAGUGGUUGAGCAGCUGCCUUCAGCUCAGAAUGUGAUCCUGGGAUCUGGGAUCGAGUCCCACAUCGGGCU
rnacentral:tRNA from 1 species